rnacentral:rRNA from 1 species
UACGGGGGGAGCAAGCGUUGUUCGGAUUUACUGGGCGUAAAGGGCGCGUAGGCGGCCACCGCAAGUCGACUGUGAAAUCUCCGGGCUUAACUCGGAAAGGUCAGCCGAUACUGCGGGGCUAGAGUGCAGAAGGGGCAACUGGAAUUCUCGGUGUAGCGGUGAAAUGCGUAGAUAUCAGGAGGAACACCAAUAGCGAAGGCAGCUCGCUGGUCCAUUACUGACGCUGAGGUGCGAAAGCGUGGGGAGCAAACAGG